rnacentral:piRNA from 1 species
UCAUGUGAAUUGUAUUUCUAA